rnacentral:rRNA from 1 species
GAUGAACGCUGGCGGCGUGCCUAAUACAUGCAAGUCGAGCGAACAGACGAGGAGCUUGCUCCUCUGACGUUAGCGGCGGACGGGUGAGUAACACGUGGAUAACCUACCUAUAAGACUGGGAUAACUUCGGGAAACCGGAGCUAAUACCGGAUAAUAUAUUGAACCGCAUGGUUCAAUAGUGAAAGACGGUUUUGCUGUCACUUAUAGAUGGAUCCGCGCCGCAUUAGCUAGUUGGUAAGGUAACGGCUUACCAAGGCAACGAUGCGUAGCCGACCUGAGAGGGUGAUCGGCCACACUGGAACUGAGACACGGUCCAGACGCCUACGGGAGGCAGCAGUAGGGAAUCUUACGCAAUGGGCGAAAGCCUGACGGAGCAACGCCGCGUGAGUGAUGAAGGUCUUCGGAUCGUAAAACUCUGUUAUGAGGGAAGAACAGAUGUGUAAGUAACUAUGCACGUCUUGACGGUACCUAAUCAGAAAGCCACGGCUAACUACGUG